GAUGAACGCUAGCGACAGGCUUAACACAUGCAAGUCGAGGGGCAGCGGGGGCGUAGCAAUACGCCUGCCGGCGACCGGCGCACGGGUGAGUAACACGUAUGCAACCUGCCCGUCACAGGGGGAUAAGCGGAAGAAAUUCCGUCUAAUACCGCGUAGCACCUGCGGAGGGCAUCCUCUGCAGGUUAAAGCAUUUCGGUGACGGAUGGGCAUGCGGCGCAUUAGCUAGUUGGCGGGGUAACGGCCCACCAAGGCGACGAGGCGUAGGGGUUCUGAGAGGAAGGUCCCCCACACUGGUACUGAGACACGGACCAGACUCCUACGGGAGGCAGCAGAGAGGAAUAUUGGUCAAUGGGCGCGAGCCUGAACCAGCCAAGUCGCGUGAGGGAAGACGGCCCUACGGGUUGUAAACCUCUUUUGUCGGGGAGCAAAUGCGCCACGUGUGGCGCUGCGAGAGUACCCGAAGAAAAAGCAUCGGCUAACUCCGUGCCAGCCGCCGCCGUAA
rnacentral:rRNA from 1 species